rnacentral:rRNA from 1 species
CCCUUAGAUGUUCUGGGCAGCACGCGCGCUACAAUGGUCUUCGCAAACGGAUGCAUUCUCGAAGGAGAAUGCCAAUCUUGGAAUCUAUGCCUUGGUCGGGACAGUUGCUUGCAAUUUUUCGACUCGAACCAGGAAUUCCUUGUAAUCGUGAUUCAUCACAUCACAAUGAAUAUGUCCCUGCCCUUUGUACACACCGCCCGUCGCUCCUACCGAUCGAAGAGUUAGGUGAAUUGUUUUGAUCGAUAAGAUUUGACUAUGGUCAACUCUCGUUGUGAAAUUCUGUGAAUCUGACUGUUUAGAGGAAGGAAAAGUCGUAACA